AACCAUUCUCACCUGCGGCUAGACCUGCGGAGGGAUCAUUACCGAGUGUGAACCCCCCCGUAAAAAAGAGGGGUUACCUCCCGUCCUUUGCUGGGAACCCCUUUCCAACUUGGAAGGAGGUUGUUUUCAGACCCUUCUGCUUCGGUGGGGUAACCCACCGGAACAACCUCAAAAAUAUUCUCAAUUCAAAACCGUUCAGUCCGAGAACUUUUUUGAAAAGCGAAAAAACUUUUAACAACG
rnacentral:misc_RNA from 1 species